AAGUCGUAACAAGGUUUCCGUAGGUGAACCUGCGGAAGGAUCAUUACCGAGUUCAUGCCCUCACGGGUAGAUCUCCCACCCUUUGUAUACCAUACCUUUGUUGCUUUGGCGGGCCGCCUAGCUACUGGCUUCGGCUGGUAAGUGCCCGCCAGAGGACCCAAAACCCUGAUUAUUAGUGUCGUCUGAGUACAAUUUUAAUAUUUAAAACUUUCAACAACGGAUCUCUUGGCUCUG
rnacentral:misc_RNA from 1 species